rnacentral:rRNA from 1 species
GCUCAACCGAGGAAGUGCUUCGAAAACUGGUAAACUUGAGUGCAGAAGAGGAAAGUGGAACUCCAUGUGUAGCGGUGGAAUGCGUAGAUAUAUGGAAGAACACCAGUGGCGAAGGCGGCUUUCUGGUCUGUAACUGACGCUGAGAUUCGAAAGCAUGGGUAGCAAACAGGAUUAGAUACCCUGGUAGUCCAUGCCGUAAACGAUGAGUGCUAAGUGUUGGAGGGUUUCCGCCCUUCAGUGCUGCAGCUAACGCAUUAAGCACUCCGCCUGGGGAGUACGACCGCAAGGUUGAAACUCAAAGGAAUUGACGGGGGCCCGCACAAGCGGUGGAGCAUGUGGUUUAAUUCGAAGCAACGCGAAGAACCUUACCAGGUCUUGACAUACCAUGAAAAGCUUAGAGAUAAGUCUUUCCCUUCGGGGACAUGGAUACAGGUGGUGCAUGGUUGUCGUCAGCUCGUGUCGUGAGAUGUUGGGUUAAGUCCCGCAACGAGCGCAACCCUUAUUAUCAGUUGCCAGCAUUCAGUUGGGCACUCUGGUGAGACUGCCGGUGACAAACCGGAGGAAGGUGGGGACGACGUCAAAUCAUCAUGCCCCUUAUGACCUGGGCUACACACGUGCUACAAUGGUCGGUACAACG